rnacentral:rRNA from 1 species
UACGAAGGGGGGCGAGCGUUGUUCGGAUUUACUGGGCGUAAAGGGCGCGCAGGCGGCUCAUUUUGUCAGGCGUGAAAGCCCCGGGCUUAACCUGGGAGGUGCGUUUGAUACGGAUGGGCUAGAGUUCGGGAGAGGAGAGUGGAAUUCCCAGUGUAGAGGUGAAAUUCGUAGAUAUUGGGAAGAACACCGGUGGCGAAGGCGGCUCUCUGGACCGAGACUGACGCUGAGGCGCGAAAGCGUGGGGAGCAAACAGG